rnacentral:tRNA from 1 species
ACCUGGCUGGCUAGGUGGGUAGAGCAAGUGACUUUUGAUCUCAGGGUUAUAGGUUUGAGCCCAUGUUAGGUG